CCUACGGGUGGCAGCAGUGAGGAAUAUUGGUCAAUGGCCGGGAGGCUGAACCAGCCAAGUCGCGUGAGGGAAGACGGCCCUACGGGUUGUAAACCUCUUUUGUCAGGGAGCAAGGUGCAGGUCGGGACCUGCUGUAAGAGUACCUUAAGAAAAAGCAUCGGCUAACUCCGUGACAGCAGCCGCGGUAAUACGGAGAAUGCGAGCGUUAUCCGGAGUUAUUGGGUUUAACGGGUGCGCAGGCGGAGGCACAAGUCAGCGGUAACAUCGCGGGGCUCAACCCCGCUCGGCCGUUGAAACUGUUUCCAUAGAGUGCGCGAAGGGUAGGCGGAAGGCGUGGUGUAGCGGUGAAAUGCAUAGAUAUAACGCAGAACACCGAUCGAGAAGGCAGCCUACCGGCGCGCAACUGACGCUCAUGCACGAAAGCGUGGGUAUCGAACAGGAUUAGAUACCCGUGUAGUC
rnacentral:rRNA from 1 species